rnacentral:rRNA from 1 species
CUAGCCGUAAACGAUGGGUACUAGGUGUAGGUGGUUUCGAUACCAUCUGUGCCGGAGUUAACGCAAUAAGUACCCCGCCUGGGGAGUACGUGCGCAAGCAUGAAACUCAAAGGAAUUGACGGGGGCCCGCACAAGCGGUGGAGCAUGUGGUUUAAUUCGAUGCAACGCGAAGAACCUUACCAGGGCUUGACAUCUACCUGGCGGUCUUUGGAAACAGAGGCUUUCCUUCGGGACGGGUAGACAGGUGG